rnacentral:rRNA from 1 species
GGGUAGCUAAGUGCGGAAGAGAUAAGUGCUGAAAGCAUCUAAGCACGAAACUUGCCAAGAGAUGAGUUCUCCCAAUCAAAGAGAUUGUAAGGGUUGUUGUAGACUACGACGUAGAUAGGUCUGGUGUGUAAGUGUAGUGAUACAUUGAGCUAACAGAUACUAAUUGCCCGAGAGGCUUAACUAU